UAGCCAUGUUGUGGACAUGAAUUGAUGAGAUCCUUAUAUCGCUCCCAACGUUUGAAGAAGGUCUCACCCUCUUUUUGGAUCAAAUUCAUGAUUGCUUUUUUUAAGGUG